GGCACAGCAGAGGAGCAACACGGUGCAAAUUGCCUGAUGAUGAGGUGGCUAAUCCCACUGCUAGUUUAAUUGAUACUUAAAGGCCUGCUAUCCGCUCUGAAGUGCUGAGAGGAUACAAACCGCCUCGGCCAAGGUGUGGUAACAGGGCAGAGCUGUGCAGUGUUACCUGUGGAAGUUUGCAUGCACAAAUGAGCAGAAUGGUUUCGGAUGGUGAUGUAGUCGCUCUGGAAGCACUGCAGGCGAUUCAAGGUGGACAAAAUGCAUCACACUUUUGGCUGCAAAAUAAUCAUCACAACAUCCUCACAUUGCGUUCGGAAGUUGCAUCCAAUUUGACGAGUGUGUGUAUGAAGCAUGCGGCGAAAGUCCAGAACGCGAGGGAUAACGUGACACGGUGCUAGAGCGAGGUCUCCGAGACUCAUCAUCAAAGACUUGAGCGGUGCUUUCUAAUCGGUCGCGGGGAGAGUCGGUUGUGCCAGGGAGACAGGUGAGAUGAACUGAUAAGAAGAGCCUAUUUCAGGCUGCUGAGGGGGAGGACGAUGUGACUCCUAUCAGAUGACCGCUGGGAUGCUGACAUACGUGUUACUCUAGAAUAAGGCACAGCUGAGAGGUGAUUAGGUAAAACUUUGAAAACUAACUGUAGGCUCUGAUUUGUGAGGAAAAUAAAUACACGCCACUAACCGUUGCGUUUUGGAAAAGCGUUCAACAAUUGCAAAAUCAUUUUCCCUAAUUACACUGCAUGCAUUAUUUUUUCCUCGAAUAAAGACGUUUUCUUUACUAGCCAGCACACAUUUCUGGUAUAAAAACUGGAUAUUUGUGGAAACGGACGUGUCAGUCAUUCAAAUCUCAUUAAAUGUAUGUCUCCAUGAAAGGUUCUUUAAAACUCGCUUGGCUCAGAUCCACAAACCUCAGAAGUGUCCAUCAGCCAACAUAUAAACACCUAAGAUCACGUCUCUCUCUCUCGCUAUAUAUUUAUGCGCGUGUGAAAAAAAAUUAUUGCCAUUUAAAGGUUAUAUUAUCCAGAUUCUAUUUGCAUGCAUUUUAGCAUUAAUUACAGCGUCUGCAAUUAAAUGAACAUCUAAAUAAUUGUAAUUGAUCGUACCUUGUAUUGACAGCAUCUUACAAGAUGCAAAAUAGAGCUGUUAUUGCUUUGCUCCCAAGU
ensembl:lncRNA